GUGAGGAAUCUUGCGCAAUGGGGGCAACCCUGACGCAGCAACGCCGCGUGAGUGAUGAAGGCCUUCGGGUCGUAAAGCUCUGUCAGAUGGAAAGAAAGUUCCGGCGGUAAAUAGUCGCCGGGAUUGACGGUACCGUCGAAGGAAGCACCGGCUAACUCCGUGCCAGCAGCCGCGGUAAUACGGAGGGUGCAAGCGUUGUUCGGAAUUAUUGGGCGUAAAGAGCGUGUAGGCGGUUUAGUAAGUCAGAUGUGAAAUCCCUUGGCUCAACCAAGGAAGGGCAUUUGAAACUGCUAAGCUUGAGUACGGGAGGGGGAAGCGGAAUUCCCGGUGUAGAGGUGAAAUUCGUAGAUAUCGGGAGGAACACCGGUGGCGAAGGCGGCUUCCUGGACCGAUACUGACGCUGAGACGCGAAAGCGUGGGGAGCAAACAGGAUUAGAAACCCUAGUAGUCC
rnacentral:rRNA from 1 species